UACGUAGGGGGCGAGCGUUGUCCGGAGUUACUGGGCGUAAAGGGCGUGCAGGCGGUGCGGUAAGUUUGGCGUGAGAGUCCCCGGCUUAACUGGGGAAGGCCUUCAAAAACUGCCGGACUUGAGGGCCAGAGAGGGACAUAGAAUUCCGGGUGGAGUGGUGAAAUGCGUAGAUAUCCGGAGGAAUACCAAAGGCGAAGGCAGUGUCCUGGCUGGCAUCUGACGCUGAGGCGAGAAAGCUAGGGGAGCGAACAGG
rnacentral:rRNA from 1 species